rnacentral:rRNA from 1 species
GAUGAACGCUGGCGGCGUGCCUAAUACAUGCGAGUCGAGCGAACAGACGAGGAGCUUGCUCCUCUGACGUUAGCGGCGGACGGGUGAGUAACACGUGGAUAACCUACCUAUAAGACUGGGAUAACUUCGGGAAACCGGAGCUAAUACCGGAUAAUAUAUUGAACCGCAUGGUUCAAUAGUGAAAGACGGUUUUGCUGUCACUUAUAGAUGGAUCCGCGCCGCAUUAGCUAGUUGGUAAGGUAACGGCUUACCAAGGCAACGAUGCGUAGCCGACCUGAGAGGGUGAUCGGCCACACUGGAACUGAGCCACGGUCAAGACUCCUACGGGAGGCAGCAGUAGGGAAUCUUCCGCAAUGGGCGAAAGCCUGACGGAGCAACGCCGCGUGAGUGAUGAAGGUCUUCGGAUCGUAAAACUCUGUUAUUAGGGAAGAACAAAUGUGUAAGUAACUAUGCACGUCUUGACGGUACCUAAUCAGAAAGCCACGGCUAACUACGUG